rnacentral:rRNA from 1 species
GUAGGGUGCAAGCGUUACCCCGGAUUUAUCGGGCGUAAAGGGUCCGUAGGCGAUUUGGUAAGUCAUUCUUUAAAUACUAGAGCUUAACUUUAGGAGAGGGAGUGAUACUGCCAGGAUAGAGACAUUUAGGGGCUACUGGAACUUGUCACGUAGGGGUGAAAUCCGUUGAUAUGACAAGGAACUCCAAGGGCGAAGGCAGGUAGCUGGGAAUGUUCUGACGCUGAGGGACGAAAGCUAGGGGAGCGAAAGGGAUUAGAGACCCCUGUAGUCCUAGCCGUAAACGAUCCUCGCUAGCUGGUCGGUGAAUUCUGACUAGCGAAGGUAACCCCAUUAAGCGAGGCGCCUGGGGAGUACGAACGCAAGUUUA